CUCUAAAACUCUCUCUCUCUGAAAAAUCCCCUCCUCAAAGUUGCGGCACAAUGUGUGUAUAUAUAGGCAGACUCACGGCACCAAUCCUUGGAGGACAAGGAUAAGGCACGACACAAUUAUAGGAGAAAAGGGAUUAAAUUGUUUGCAUGAUUUUAGGACUUCUAGAAUCAAAUAUACAUUGUUAAAACAUGAUAAGUACUCACCCUUUCAGUUGGAGAUAAGGUAAGAUAGGAUUAGGAUAAGAUAAUAUAAUGUUAGUUGGAUAGGAUGGAUAAGAUAAGAUUGGAUAAGGUCUCCUUGUUUUCAGCUGAUUCCUUGUCUUCCAAGCCUUAAUUUAAUUCUUCCAGAUUUGUAGCACAUUUUUAGCAUCAUUUCUCACCAAAAACGUCCAUCCAUUAUGCUCCAUAUGCAUGCUAUCCAAUCCAAGUCCAAAACUGCUCCAAAUUGCUCCAUUUUGCCCUUUUUUGUCACCUUUGCCAAUUGGACCUACAAACACACGAAAAUAGUUUAAAUCACUAUAAUAAAUAUAAACUAACUAAGUAAAUACAAAGAAAUAAGCUAACAAAGUCGCACAAAUAUGCUCCUAUCAAAUUCCCCCACACUUAGCUUUUGCUAGUCCUCGAGCAAAAUGAAGAAAACAAGACACAACCUAAACCUUCCAACAAUUGCCUCAGGGAUUUCCAAUGAAACAUGGCACGUUAAAAAUCACUACUCCCAUAGAUUUUAGUCAUCCUUACCCUCGAGCUUAUACUUAAUCGCAGUAACCACUCACUAGCUCGCAUUUAAUCAAUUAAAACAACAUUUUGAAUGUAGUAGCAUGCCUUAGAGAAUUCACUCAAUUCCUCAUCGGAUAUACUCUCAAUGCCUUAGAGAAAUUCACUCAAUUUCUCACUACACUCCCUAUUCUAAGUAUAUGUGAGAAGAUUGAUGUAAACAUAUAGACUAACACUCACAUAUGUUAUAACAAAGAAGGCACUUUUUGGAAUUAUUAAUCUAACAUGUGUACGAUCUCAUGAACGAAAUGCCAUUACUUAGAAGCAAGAACCAGAGAUUCCAUAUGCUCGUACCAAUUUCAAACUCCACAUAUUGAAUAACAUAACAAUCAAGAUAAAAGUCUAAGGGUUGUAAUUGGGCUAAGGUAUUGGCUAACAAAGAAUGGUUAAGGAUAAACAAAUGUUCUUAAAGUGAUAGUAAGCAAAGUAAUGAAAUCAACACUUAGAAUUCAAAUUUUAAUUGCAGUACCCAACUUUAAACACAAAAGGGAGAUUCGUACAACAUUUAGGAUCAUAUUCACAUUUUUGGACCCUUUUUCAACAACCAACACUUAUGAAAUCAUUCUCACUUCUUUCCAACUUUUUUUCUUGUUUUCCUUCUUUUUUUCUUCCUCCUUUUUUUUUUCUUUUCUUUUUGGUUCACAAAACAUACUACUUCACCAAUUCACAAGGACAAAUUCUUCCCCCACACUUGUUUUUCUACAUAUUGUAGAUCAAAAGGAAUUCCCACUAUUCUUUAAGAACAAGGGUAUGGAUAGUCCUAUACUAGGCUAGGUAGGGAUAAUGCAAGCUAACAAAAAAAAAUAGGCUAAAUAAGGCUCAAAUGGGUUAAACCUUCAAUACAUAUGCAAGGGAUAAGGCUUUUUGGCUCUGAUGGUAACUAAACAACUUUAUCUUGUUAUUUGUUAUGCAAUCAAUUUUAUGCUUUGAAUGAAACGGGCAUGAGUUCUAGUAUUUGAAUCUAAAAUGAUGAAAAAACAUUUUAAGUAGCAACCGACCAAAGAACUAAUGAGAUCAUGCAACGACUUUAGAAAACAAGAAUAUCACAGAUUAAUAACUCUCCAAACAAAGCAUAGGCUCAAGUCUCUCAGGGUUGUAGCGUUAGUUUGAGUUUCUUCCUUCAAGCAUGUUACAAAAACUGAUUUUUUUUUUCUUUGUGAUUAUAUAUGAAUUCGUGAAUGACAACUACAACUAAGCAUUAACCGAAAAGCAUAUCAAACUUCCACCCAUGUUUGUAACUUUCUUUAACAGUCAUGCACUUAAAAGCCAAAUCUUCAUCAUUGUGUUGGAAGGUACCCUAAGACACAAACAAACAACAAAAAUGACUCUUUUUGGUAUUUUUCUCAAAAAUUUUCGAUUUUUUAAUCACAUUAAUGGAAAAACAAGAAUGAACAUCAUUAGGAUACUUAACGGAUUCAGAAAUAUUAAAAUUGAUCACAUUGCCAUCAAACUCCAUGGUUAACGCUUCCUUGGACACAUCAAUCUUGGUUUGGGCUGUUUUUUUUAAAGGUCUUCCAAGUAAGAUUGGCAAUGGUGUAAAGUGGGUUGAAUCAUCCAUCUCAAGCAUAGAAAAAUCUGUUAGAAAAAUCAAAUGGUCUACUUGCACCAAAACAUCUUCCAAAACUCAUUUUGGAUAUGCAUUAGAUCGAUCAGCUAAUUGAAUAAUGACACCAUCAUUUUUGAGCUCUCCUAGAUUCAUAGAUGUAUAAAUAGAAUAUGGCAUGAUAUUAAUGAAAGCACCUAAAUCUAGUAUAGUAUGUUCAAACCUUGUAUUGCCAAUAACAUAAGGGAUAGUGAAACUACCUGGAUCUUUGCAUUUAGGUGGCAGCUUUCUUUGCAAAACUACAGAGACAUUUUCACUUACAUGUACCACUUCCUUCUCGGGAAUCCGUUUCUUUGUUGUACAAACCUUCUUAAAAAACUUAGCAUACUUUAGAACUUGCUUUAUUGCAUCAAGAAGUGGGAUAUUAACUUGUACCUUCUUGAAGGUUUCUAAGAUGUCUUUUUCGUUCUCUGCUUUCCUAGAUUUCAUAAACCUGCGAGGAAAAGGCACAUUUAAUGUAAUAGGGUUAGAAGGAAUUUGAUUCGAACCAACCUUACCUUAGUGGGAUUGUAUGGGAUUCUUAGGGGGCUACGGCAAGGGUUGUUCUUCCCUUGUCGUAGCUUUAUCCUCAUCUUCUUCUUCUUACAGCAGCUUUUCAUCCUCUAUUUGGCUUUGCUUGGAUGAUUUUGGGUUGGUUCCAAUCUUCAUGCCAUUUCUUAACAUGAUAGCCUUAGCGGUUUCAAAGCCUCCAUUUGGAUUGACAACAGUUGAACUAGGCAGUUUGCCUUGUUCUUUGAAUUGUCCCAUGAAUUCUGCCAUCUGCCCUAUUUGAUUCUUCAAUUCGCCCACCUCCUUGGCUUGAUUUUGUAAGCCCUGUGUCAAAGAAGUUAGUACUUGAAGAAUGUUAUCAUUAUCCAUUAACGAACCUGAAUUUGGUUGGGCAGAUGGUAGGUGAGGCUAUAAUGGUGCAAAUGGCCUUUGAUAAAGCCCAGGAGGUGGCUGUCUAUAUCCGCCUUGUUGUUGAGUUUGAGGUUCCCUCCAUUUCAUAUUUGGAUGAUCUAUCCAGCCCGAAUUGUAGGUGUUGGAGAAUGGGUUAGUCCUUGGUUAAUUUUGGCCUUGAUAAUCUAUGGCAUUGGCACUUUCAUAUCCCCAAUUCUAUAUCAAUUGAGGACAUUGAUCAGUUGGGUGUCCUUGCAUAGAGCACACGCCACAAGCACUUGUUCCUUGCACCUUGGAUCCUUCAACAACCUAUGAUAAAAGAACAGAGAGAUUAGCCAUUUGGGAUUGAAGUUCUGAAAUAGCAUUUACCUCAUUAACUUGAUUAUGCCGUUAGGGGUUUCCUUGUCCAACUCCUUCGUAUUGUUGUGCAUUCAAGGCUCGAUUUUUCUAUCAAGAUCUUUGCAGCAACUGGUUUUUUAUCAAUGAAAGCACCACUUGCCGAGGCAUCUAGCAUUUGUCUCUCAAUUGGAAGUAGUCAUUCGUAGAAUAUUGAAUUAAAAGCUCUUCCUUCAUUUGAUGUUGGGGACAAGAUGUAACUAAAGUCUUAAAAUGAUCAUAAUACGCUGGAAAUGAUUCUCUUUGGCCUUGUUGGAUUCCACUAAUUCUCUUUCUCAAAAGAAUGACUCUUGACGUUGGGAAGAAUUUCUCUAAGAACGUUUUCUUCAUACUUUCCCAAGAAGUGAUGGUUCCAAGUGCUAAUUCAAAGAGCCAAUCCUUAGGCUUUUCCAAAAGAGAGAAUGAAAAGACUUUCAUCUUUAGAAUAUUGUCAUCCAAGUUGAUUGGUGUCAUGCUCGAGCACACCACUUCAAAUUCCUUCAAAUGCUUGUUCGGAUCUUCCACGGAUAGCCCAUGGUAUUUGGGAAUGUGAUGCAGCAAACUGGACUUCAAUUCAAACUCAUCGGUCUUGCCUUGAGCUACUAUAGGGUAUUGAAUGCAAAGAUGGAUGACAUUGUCCAAUCCCGAGGCUGAAAAUUCCUUAAUUGUUCGAUUGUCUACAACUAUGUCUUGUUCCUAUUCCUCUUCCUCUUCCUCUUCUUCAAAUUCGGAUUCAGAACUAGAACUAGGUGGAUUAGGUUCUAGUUGCUUCCUCUUCCUUCUCAAAGUUCGUUCAAAAUCGUCGUCAAACUCUAAUAUAUGCCUACGAACUGGUUGAGAACUUCUAGUCAUAAACUAGCACCUAAAACAAAGAAAACAAAACAAAACAAAAUAAAAAACACAAGAAAAAUAAAAACAUAAGCAAAGGGAAGAUUAGCAAUUUUGCUAAUCCCCAGCAACGGCGCCAAAAUUUAAUGUGGUAUAAACUAACACACAAAUUAAACCUUAUAAUUUAGAUGAUUGUAGUAUGAGUAAGUAGCGAUUGUUCUAGGCAGAGGAUUAUGAGGGAUGCUAAUCAACUCAAAUUAGACUUAAAAACUGCAAACUAGACAAAACUAACACAAAACACUAAGAGGGGAGGUUUUUGGACGAAAUUUUGACUUAAAACAAGUAAAUUGCAGAAACAAAGUAGGUUUGGACGAAAAUUGGGUGAAAGGCUAGCUAGAGGAUUCUUCUCCACACAUGAAACAGAUGCAUACAAAUUGAUUUCCGGUUAUUAUUUCUAUAAACCACGAAUGACAAUGCCCCAAAUUAAUUGUGACCAGCACUAAUUAACACUCAGAUUUUCCUAAGUUCAUUGAAUUGGACUCAGUGACGUAACCAAAUUAUUCUUCUCAAAUUCCCUAACUAUGAAUAGCAUGAUAGAGAUACAUAUCAAAGAUCAUUAAGUUAUGUGAAAAUCAUAAGCAUUGACAAAGCAUUCGUAACUAUGAACUGCAUGAUACUCCUCAAGGAAUUUACUUAACUCAAUCAUUACUAGUGGCUUUUACUACUUGCAAAUAUAAGUUCAUAAUGAUUAGGUGAAAUUCCCUUAUAUUCUAGCAUCAAAUCCCUGCAUGCAAACUAAGUACGUGUCCUUAAUCAACAUACAUAAUAAGUUCUCUAUAAAACAGAUAAGUAAAUCACAUUCAUGGUCUACGAAACAAUAACUGGAUGUAAUCAAUUUAUAUAAAACAUAAGAGCAUGGCUUCGAAUUCACCUUUAGCUAAAAAGAAAUUUAGAUACACAUGUUUGUCAUAGUUGAAAAGCAAUCUAAAAUAAACAUCGAAACUAUAACUAAGGAUAGAAAGAACCCAAGACGCUCCAGCAAUCCAAUGGCAGAUUGCACAAUCCUCGGAUGCAGCACGGCUCAAAACUCUUUCUCUCAUUCCUUUCUCACAAGCACGGCACAAGUCUUUAAAUUUCUCAGAAAUCUGUGCAAACUGAUGUAUUUUCUCUCUAAACUCUCUCUGAAAAAUCCCCUCCUCAAAGUUGUAGCACAAUGUGUGUGUAUAUAGGGAAACUCACGGCACCAAUCCUUGGUGGACAAGGAUAGGGCACGACACAAUUCUAGAAGAAAAUGGAUUAAAUUGUUUGCAUGAUUUGAGGACUUCAAGAAUUAGAUAUGCAUUGUUAAAACAUAACACGGACUCCCUCUUUCAGCUGGAGAUAAGGUAAGAUAGGAUUAGGAUAGGAUAAGAUAAGAUUAGUUUGGAUAAGGUUGGAUAAGAUAAGAUUGGAUAAGGUUUCCUUGUUUUCAACUGAUUCCUUGUCUUCCAAGUCUUAAUUUAAUUCUUCCAGAUUUGUAGCAUCAUUUGUCACCAAAACGUCCAUCCAUUAUGCUCCAUACGCAUGCUAUCCAAUCCAAGUCCAAAAUUGCUCUAAAUUGCUCCAUUUUGCCCUUUUUUGUCACUUUUGCCAAUUGGACCUAGAAACACACAAAAAUAGCUUAAAUCACUAUAAGAAAUAGAAACUAACUAAGUAAAUGCAAAGAAAUAAGCUAACAAAGUUGCAUAUAUAUGCUCCUAUCAACACCACCACAUCCCCAAAACUGCUCCGGUAUCCAUGAGUCCCCUAAACCCUAAACUAGUCUAUUCCUAAGUAUCUCCCUUCUCGGUUGGUUUUUGCCAGCCACUAGCUCAAGUAACAUCCAUAUGAUAUGUAUGUGAAUACUUGUACUUGGCAAGAUUUUAAAUAACUUGGAGGAAAAAGAUUGAAUCUUUAAACCCUAAUAAUGGAUUAUCUAAGGAAAUGGGAUUUUAUUGGGUUGAUUGUUGUAGAGGCGAUGGAGGGUACUAAGAGAGACAAGUGACACCGCCGUGAGGGAAGGAGGUUGAGGGUAUUAUCGGGGUUCUAAUUGGGUAGGGAUUUUUAUUUUUAUUUUUUUUCCUUUAUUCUUAUUUUUGAUAUUUUAGGUUUUAAAACUUUCAAUUAUAUAACUAGUAAUUAUGUGGCAAGACAUGAUUGGUUUGUCUUUAGGUCUUUGAAAGUCAUUUUACACAAGGAUAAAUUUGGCAAUAAAAUUAUGAGUUCAAAGUGGGUGGAGAAAUAAGACAAAGGGAUGGGCUUAGCAGAACUCAAACUUAAACACCGUUAUUGGUGAACAUUAGAACUUCUUCACUUGACUUGGAUUGGAUUAAAUUGACAUCAUCACUAUCAAAAUGAACAAUGGAGGUUUCGGAAUGAACAUCAUCAACAUCAAGGGCAUCAUUUGCCUCUCUUGACAGUAUAGCCUCAUAGUCAUCGCCCUAAUUCGGAUUAGCAUCAGGGGCAUCAUCUGCCUCAUAACCCUACUUGUACUUGGGCGUUCCUUUCUCCUCGAAGGAUGUCCACGCCUCUCUCACAUCUGCCUCACUCUCAUCCUGAUAUGUCAGACAAAAAUGGAAUGCUCAUCUUCCUUUUGCUUUACUUCGCAGAGUAGCAAGUUGAUCCGUCUUUGAUGACGACUUGGACAAAUUAUUCACGUCUCUCAUAACCGAUUGAAGGUCAUUGGUCAAACUUGCUGCUUUUUGCUCUGUCUCACGCAAAGACUUUUCUAAGGAUGAUGUCUUUACUUUAGAAGACUUUUGGCAAACCUUAAACUCUUUCUUGAGUAUCUGGUACUUUGCCUCUGGAUCAAGAACUUGCUGAGAUAGCCAUUUUGCACAAUCUCUUAACCGUUUUCCGCAUUGUUCCGUUAUGCUAUUGCCUUUUCCAACUCUACAUAUUUCUCCUUGAAUGCAUUGGCAUCAUUUUCACAAUGACUCCUCAGGAUGUGCCAUCAUUCUUCAAGCCUGCUCCAUUAUCCUUAUCUUCUCCAUUUGGCCUAGUAUGACAACUCAGUGCACAUAUGGGAAUAACCAAAUGAGCAAGUUAUCACAGAGGAAUGAAGACUAACAAAUCUCAGAAAUUUCACAAGUGUUGAAAGAUACUUACAACAUAUCGAUGUUGAUAUGAAGUCUAGAUUAACAUCUCAUUCAUUAGUGCGUUCUCCAUAUUAGCCAAAGAAAUGCCUAGGUGAACUAUGGCUUAAGAAAAGUCCAUUCUCCAAACCUCGAGUUUCGUAAGGUAAAGAUUGCUGCUCCUAUAUAGGCCUUAUUAGAAUAAUAAGUUGUCGAAGCAACACCAGCUGAAGAACUUGCUCCUAAAGUAAGACUUGUUGCUUUAGCAAGAGCAAACUCUUGGUGCAUCAAUCCCUCUAUUGGAACAUCCACUAAUAGGGUAGAAGCAACUUGUGGCCUUGCCAAGACAGCUUCAAUCGUCCAAGUCCUUAUCAAUACUUUAGAAGAAUUUUUCGCCCUCGAUAGCAGCCUAGCUAAAUGCUGCAACUGUUACGGCACCACUACAAUGGUGGUUUAGUCUGAUUCUUGUGUCUCUUUUGCUUUUUUCAGUAGAGUCCUAGACCAACAAGAUGGUUUUCCGUUUUUCAAUAUAUUUUUGUGCCUUCACCUUAGCACAUCAUUUCUCAUCUCUCUCUCUCUCUCUUAUAUUCUUCAAGAUCAAUCAUCUCACUCCCUUUUACUCAACCAGACUUUGUUGCUCUUAUUUUGGUCACUUUAGAAGAUCCAUCCUUAAUGGUCUUCUUCUUUCUCUAUAUUAUCUCCUCAAACUUCUUGGAUUUCCUGGUCCUUCUUGGCUUAUCUAGAGUCUGCGUCCAUUUCCUAGCCUUGCCUGCAUCAAUCUAGAUCAGAUUAAGUGAGCAAUGAAGGAUAUUGGUGGACUUGUCAUUGUCUUCAUCCCGUUUUGGACUAAACAACCGUAUCCAAUACUUAUGCUUCUCUAGGAUCAUCUUAAAUGCCAGUUGAUCAAGUGUGGCCUGCAAGGAUCAACUUUGGUGAUAUUGUUGUCCAUUUCCAAAUCCACAACCAGAACAUAAGGGACACACACUCUAGAUACAUAUUCUUCAAGUCUCCUGCAAGUUGGUGAUGUAAACAUCCCAACUAAGACUAGUCUAAGCCUAGAAGAAGUACAUUCCUUUGGCACUAGUCUGAAUGGUAUGUAGGACAAGAAACUCAUGGAUCCCCAACCCUGCGCCAUACCACUCAUUUAGGUACUCAAAAUUGGUAAUGAUCUGAAAUGAUGAAGGUGUAAGAUUUCACAACAUAAUCUUACAGCAUAUGAAAACCUCGUCUAAGAAGUCUGAAAUAAGAAAUUUCAACUCAUGAUCUAGAUACCAGGGGUGAAUC
rnacentral:lncRNA from 1 species